UACGUAGGGAGCAAGCGUUAUCCGGAAUUAUUGGGUGUAAAGGGUGCGUAGACGGGAUAACAAGUUGGUUGUGAAACCCCUCGGCUCAACUGAGGAGCCGCAACCAAAACUAUUAUUCUUGAGUGCAGGAGAGGAAAGUGGAAUUCCUAGUGUAGCGGUGAAAUGCGUAGAUAUUAGGAAGAACACCGGUGGCGAAGGCGACUUUCUGGACUGUAACUGACGUUGAGGCACGAAAGUGUGGGGAGCAAACAGG
rnacentral:rRNA from 1 species